UUCUACCUACGGGGGGCAGCAGUGGGGAAUAUUGCACAAUGGGGGAAACCCUGAUGCAGCGACGCCGCGUGAGCGAUGAAGUAUUUCGGUAUGUAAAGCUCUAUCAGCAGGGAAGAAAAUGACGGUACCUGACUAAGAAGCCCCGGCUAACUACGUGCCAGCAGCCGCGGUAAUACGUAGGGGGCAAGCGUUAUCCGGAUUUACUGGGUGUAAAGGGAGCGUAGACGGCGGUGCAAGCCAGAUGUGAAAGCCCGCGGCCCAACCGCGGGACUGCAUUGGGAACUACCGGGCUGGAGUGCCGGAGG
rnacentral:rRNA from 1 species